AUUGAGACAUUGGACCUGUGAGACA
rnacentral:piRNA from 1 species